rnacentral:tRNA from 1 species
UGGAGUGGCUCAGUUGGUAGAGCAGCUGAUUCGUAAUCAGCAGGUCGUGGGUUCGAGUCCCAUCUUCA